ensembl:lncRNA
CUUCUCACUGCUGCCAACUGGAGCCUAGAGCAAAGCUCAGAAUUAACGAGCUAUUAGUAUUUACUCUCCAUAAGAAUCCCUCGGCCUCUGAUAAUGGGAAAGCCCCUGGGGAAGGGGUGCCAGCUGUUCACCUGGCCGUGAUGAUGGAGAACUGCUUUAACAGUGCUAUGGAUUUGGUAGUUAUGACGUGAGCUUGUGGUCCUCAGUGGGUACAUAUGUUUGAUGCUGAAGAUUUAUCUGAGGCUGCUCUGCUCUACUUGACUGCAGCCGGUUCAUAACACUUAUCACCUGAAGCCUGUGCAGGAGAUGUGUGUUUUUUCCUGGAAGCCUGUUCAGACAACAGAGGAAUUACAGUAACUGAAAGAGUUUUCAGAAGACGUGUGAUAUUGCCAAUGUGGACAUUUAUUCUGAGUGCAUACCCCUCGUUUCAAAGGCACUUCAAGCAUCGGCUUCCUCAGAUCCUUCUUCAUCAGCUGCUGCCUUCAAAGGAAGGGUAUGAUUCAAGAAAACGUGGUGAUUACUUUUCUUUGAUCUUUGCCAGUAGAACUUCUUUUCUUUUUGUAUUUCUUCUGUAGUCUUCCACGUAGUUUGCCACACUCACUUACAGAUAACUGGAAACUAAUCCAG